GUCUACGGCCAUCACCCUGAACAAGCCCAAUCUGAUCUGAUUUCGGAAGCUAAGCAGUAUUGGGCUUGGUUAGUACUUUAUGAUCGACCACCUAGAAAGACCAGGUGCUGUAGGCA
rnacentral:rRNA from 1 species